rnacentral:rRNA from 1 species
GACGAACGCUGGCGGCGUGCUUAACACAUGCAAGUCGAACGGAAAGGCCCUGCUUUUGUGGGGUGCUCGAGUGGCGAACGGGUGAGUAACACGUGAGUAACCUGCCCUUGACUUUGGGAUAACUUCAGGAAACUGGGGCUAAUACCGGAUAGGAGCUCCUGCUGCAUGGUGGGGGUUGGAAAGUUUCGGCGGUUGGGGAUGGACUCGCGGCUUAUCAGCUUGUUGGUGGGGUAGUGGCUUACCAAGGCUUUGACGGGUAGCCGGCCUGAGAGGGUGACCGGCCACAUUGGGACUGGGAUACGGCCCAGACUCCAACGGGAGGCAGCAGUGGGGAAUAGUGCACAAUGGGCGGAAGCCGGAUGCAGCAACGCCGCGUGCGGGAUGACGGCCUUCGGGUUGUAAACCGCUUUCGCCUGUGACGAAGCGUGAGUGACGGUAAUGGGUAAAGAAGCACCGGCUAACUACGUG